rnacentral:rRNA from 1 species
CCUACGGGGGGCAGCAGUGAGGAAUAUUGGUCAAUGGACGAGAGUCUGAACCAGCCAAGUAGCGUGAAGGAUGACUGCCCUAUGGGUUGUAAACUUCUUUUAUAAAGGAAUAAAACGAGGCACGUGUGCCUUUUUGCAUGUACUUUAUGAAUAAGGAUCGGCUAACUCCGUGCCAGCAGCCGCGGUAAUACGGAGGAUCCGAGCGUUAUCCGGAUUUAUUGGGUUUAAAGGGAGCGUAGAUGGGUUGUUAAGUCAGUUGUAAAAGUUUGCGGCUCAACCGUAAAAUUGCAAUUGAUACUGGCAGUCUUGAGUACAGUUGAGGUAGGCGGAAUUCGUGGUGUAGCGGUGAAAUGCUUAGAUAUCACGAAGAACCCCGAUUGCGAAGGCAGCUUACUAAACUGUGACUGACAUUGAUGCUCGAAAGUGUGGGUAUCAAACAGGAUUAGAUACCCCAGUAGUC